rnacentral:rRNA from 1 species
UACAGAGGUCCCAAGCGUUGUUCGGAUUCACUGGGCGUAAAGGGUGCGUAGGUGGUGAGGUAAGUCGGAUGUGAAAGCUCGGAGCUCAACUCCGAAAUGGCAUUGGAAACUACCUUGCUCGAGGGUUGGAGGGGGGACUGGAAUACUUGGUGUAGCAGUGAAAUGCGUAGAUAUCAGGAGGAACACCGGUGGCGAAGGCGGGUCUCUGGGCCGAUACUGACGCUGAGGAGCGAAAGCGUGGGGAGCGAACAGG